GGCGGAUUCAGAGGGGGGCGUAGAGGGCGUACGCCCCCCCUUUGCUCGGACUUUUUUUUUUUUUUUUUUGUAAAAUUAUUAAUCAGUCUAGACUUCGUGAACUUUUCCAUUUCCCGAGAAUUUAAUUUAUAUACCACAAUUCUUUACUUAUAAAUAUAUUUUUCGCUUGUAUUUACUGAUUGUCAAAGUCAUGUGAUUUGCUAUGGUAGAGUUGACCAAUGCGUUGAAAAAACGGCACACGGUCAUUUUGAAAUUCAAAUUACAGUUAUAUACAUUGCUUAGGCUGAGGAUGUAAUGACAAUCAGGAAGUCUUCAAAGCGACACAGGAUUGAGCAAGAACGUAUUGACUUCUGUUUCACUAUUCCACCAAACAGAAAGUAAUAGAAAAUACUCUAUAGACUAUUAUACUUUCAUGAAAAAAAGUUCCACAAUAUUAUUUACCUACGAAAACAUGUUUAACCCUAAGCUAAAUGCCCCAACUUAUUUAUUUUAUAAAUAAAAAAGUUGAAUAAUGAUCCCCAGUCACCCCGCCGCAUUUUUGCGCCUGUUCCAAGUCAGGAGCCUCUGGCCUUUGUUACUCCUGUAAUAUUUUAUUUUUAGUUUCUUGUGUAAAAUUUGGAAAUUAGCAUGGCGUUCAUUAUCACUGAACUAGUAUAUAUUUGUUUAGGAGCCACUGAAGGACGACUCCGGGUGCGGGAAUUUCUCGCUUCACUAAAGACCUGUUCGUGACCUUCUGCUGUUGUUUUUCCUAUGGUCGGGUUGUUGUCUCUUUGAAAAAUUCCCA
rnacentral:lncRNA from 1 species